GUACUACUGACCCGCACGGCUCGCGGUGUGCAACGUGGCUGGACUUUGAGGACGUGCGCGAUGAAAUAAGCCAGUCAUAGAAAGACAAACCCUCUGGGAGUCCAGCCGUAUGAGUUUACAGGAAAUUGAGAAGUUAGAGGACACCAUGAGGAAACAAGGCAGAUCCAGAACAUGGGACAACUGGCUUCGACUUUUCAAAAACUAAAGAGGGAGAAAGUGGAGGGAGUGUCCUCAUUUAAAGGAGACUAAAGAUGCAUAAUCUCAAAUGAGCCGUGAGCCUCGGCUGGACCUUGCUGUGGUAGAAUGUCUGCAGAGACUGGCGCCAGCGAUGUCCCUGCCCCGUUCCACAUGCUCUUCUCGCAGAAGGGUGGGACCCAUUUCCCUCCACUGGGAUCUGGACGGGCCGCGUGGCUCUGGGGCCUGGGCCUUAAGGCUUCCAUUUUCAGUCUCUUGGAAGCCAGUUGACACGGGGUCCGGCACACCCUACUGACCUGCCCGUCAUUGGAAUGAAGCCAUCUGGACCCUCGUCAGAAGAGCUGCCCCAGUCAAGACCAAGAGCACGAAGCCCAGCUGUCCCCACCAAAACCACCCUGUGCAGUUAUGCAACUGGAAAAAAGGGUGCUCCCUCUGAACUGGCAGAGAAAGGUUUCCAGGAUCGAUUGCUAGGUUUAAAAGCAAGUUGCAGGAGAGUACACAGUCAGCUGUCUUUGUACUUGCAUGAGAAACACUGGAAGACUGCGUAAGACUAACAGCUGGUUACUUACAGGUAACGUGAAUAUUCAGCCAAUAUGCAGCAGUGUGACAGCACUGCUUAAAACAGUGAUUCUUCUGUCCUAGCGGGCAACGGCCACUCUCUGAGCCCUGAAUUCCCUCCCCACUCUGUUCUCACGGUUGAUACUGGGUUGCCUCGUGAGCCAACGAAUGAAGAGUUAUUCCUGGCAGGAAACCGGUUUGGCAGGCCAGCAGAUAAUGAGGUGAGUGGUAAAGGUAGGAAGGAGACUUUGCAAACUAGAUCUUUUAACAUCUUUAUUUUGGAACCAUGUGACUGUUACCUACUUAAAAUAAAAAUUUAAAGUUAAAGAAGUCCCUAUCACAGUACCGUUUUAUGGAUUUUAAACCGUCAAUUGCUGUCUUGUUGGCUUACCCCAAAAUGUCCGCUCCAUGACAAUAUAGGUCCUGCCUGUCAUGUUCACUUCUGUGUCCCCGUUACCAAGAACCAAAUUGGUAUGAAUAUUUGGUCAAUGAACACAGAUGUAUACUUUGAUGAAAAAAGAUACUGAGCAAAAGCCAUGGGAUGCAGAGAAGGCAGUGCUCGAGAGAAUUUCUAGUUGUAAAUGUCUCCAUUUAAAAAGAGAUCAAAUCAAUAACCUAACUAUAUUUUGAGAAACAAAGAAAAUUUUUUAAAAAGCAACCAAACUCAAAGCUAGCAGAUGAAAGGAACUUACAAAAAUUAGAGAUAAAACAAUAGAAAAACAAGUCAAUGAAAGUAAAAGUCAGUUUUCUGAAAAGAUCAUCAAACUGACAAGCUUUUGGCUAGACUGACAAAAAGACAUAAAUCACUAAAAUCAGAAAUGAAAGAAUAGUAUUGACCCUACAGAAAAAUGAUAAGAAAAUACUAUUAACAUUUACACACCAAUCAAUCAGAUAACUUAGAUCGAAUGGACAAAUUCCUAGAAACACAGAAAUAACCCAAAGUAACAAAAACCAAAACUGGUAUGGAAUGAACGGCUUCCCCAGUGUCUUCUACCAAACAUUUGAAGAAUUAACACCAACCCUACUUCAGCUCUUCCAACAAACUGAAGAGAGAACACUUCCUAACUCAUUCUGUGAGGCCAGCACUAAACUGACACUAAAGCCAGACAAAAACGUCACAAGAAAAGGAAAUUAGACCAAUAUCCCUUAUAAAUAUAGAUGCAAAUGUCCUCGACAAAAUACCAGUAAACCACACCCAACAGCAUAUUUAGACGAUUAUCAUGACUGAGUGGGAUUAUUCCCACAAAUGCAAGCAUGCUUCAACAUAAGAAAAUCAGCAUAAUGCACAUUAACUGAACGGGGAAAAAACACACGAUUACCUCAACUAAUGCAGAAAAGGCACUUAAAACCCAGCCCCCUUUCAUCAUCAAAAAACUCAGAAAACUAGGAAUAGAAAGGAACUUCCUCAACAUGAUAAAAGACAUCUAUGAAAAUCCCACAGCAAACAUACUCAAUGGUGAAAGGCUGAAAAGUUUUCCCAAGGUCAGGAACAAGAUGAGAAUGUCCCUCUCACCGCUUCUACUCAACAUAGUACUGCAGGGUCUAACCAGAGCAAUUGGGCAAGGGGGAAAAAAACAAGACAUCCAAACCGGAAGAAAAACUUGCUCUGUUUAUAGAUGACAUGAUCUCAUAAUAUAGAAAAUUCCAAAGAAUCCAAAAGCUAUUAGAGCUAAUAAAUGAAUUUGGUGAAGUUGCAGGGCACAAGACCAAUACACAACAAACAAAAGAGAAAAUUAAGCGAGCAAUUCCACUUACAAAUGCAUCCAAAAAAAAAAAAGACCC